rnacentral:rRNA from 1 species
CGCGACCCCAGGUCAGGCGGGAACACCCGCUGAUGUUUAAGCAUACUCAAUAAGCGAGAGAAAGAAAUUACCAGGAUUCCCUUAGUAACAGAGCGAGCGAACCGGGAAGAGCCAGCUUGGAGAAUCGGGCGCCCUCCGGCGUACGACAUUAGUCUGCGAGAAGUCCGGUCCUCAGCGGCGGACCGGGGCCAAGUCCCCGGAAGUGGGCGGGACGCACGGAGAGGCUGAGAGCCCGCUCCGCUCGCGCACCUCUCGCACCACGCAGCGCGCUGGUCUGCGACGAGGCGCUGUCUGCGAGUCGGGUUGUUUGGGAAUGCAGCCCCAAUCGGGCGGUAAAUUCCGUCCAAGGCUAAAUACGUGCGAGAGACCGAUAGCGAACAAGUACCGCGAGGGAAAGAUGAAAAGGACUUUGAAAAGAGAGUCAAAGAGUGCUUGAAAUUGUCGGGAGGGAAGCGGAUGGGGGCCGGCGAUGCGCCCCGGUCGGAUGUGGAACGGCGACAAGCCGGUCCGCCGAUCGGCUCGGGGCGCGGACCGACGCGGAUCGCGGCGGCGGCCCAAGCCCGGGCACUAGAAACGCCCGCGGAGACGCCGUCGCAGCGAUCCUCGCAAGCGAUCGUGGAGUGGACAUCAGCGCGCGCCGUCACGGCGUGCCCCGGCACCCGCGCGCUCCUGGCGUCGGCCAGCGGGCUCCCCAUUCGGCCCGUCUUGAAACACGGACCAAGGAGUCUGACAUGUGUGCGAGUCAACGGGCGAGUAAACCCGUAAGGCGCAAGGAAGCUGACUGGCGGGAUCCCCCAACCUCUUAUGGGGUGCACCGCAGACCGACCCUGAAUUUUUAUGAAGGGUUCGAGUGAGAGCACACCUGUCGGGACCCGAAAGAUGGUGAACUAUGCCUGAGCGGGGCGAAGCCAGAGGAAACUCUGGUGGAGGCCCGCAGCGGUACUGACGUGCAAAUCGUUCGUCUGACUUGGGUAUAGGGGCGAAAGACUAAUCGAACCAUCUAGUAGCUGGUUCCCUCCGAAGUUUCCCUCAGGAUAGCUGGAGCUUCUUGUCGGAGUUUUAUCGGGUAAAGCCAAUGAUUAGAGGCAUCGGGGGCACAAUGCCCUCGACCUAUUCUCAAACUUUAAAUAGGUAGGGGUCCCAGGUCCAUUGAAGAGUCGUUAAGUGCCUGUGAAAUGCAACAGUAAUCUUAAUAGGAUAAAUAUCAUUGUAUUUAAGCAUCUAAAAUUAAGUACUAUAAAAUAAACAUCGGGUUACGGUGCCCAACUGCGCGCUAACCCAGAACCCACAAAGGGUGUUGGUCGAUUAAGACAGCAGGACGGUGGUCAUGGAAGUCGAAAUCCGCUAAGGAGUGUGUAACAACUCACCUGCCGAAUCAACUAGCCCCGAAAAUGGAUGGCGCUUAAGCGCGCGACCUAUACCCGGCCGUCGGGGCAAGAGCCAGGCCCCGAUGAGUAGGAGGGCGCGGCGGCCGCUGCAAAACCCGGGCGACCGUGCGGCACUUGUUCCUCCAACAAGUCAGCCUCAAAAGUCCCUAGGAUCUUCACGGCUACCACCCUUCCACCAAGGUACACGGCAACCAAUCCCAAGUUCCAAGAACCUCACGGCAAACAAGUCACCCAAAGCUCAACAAUGAACCUCACGGCAACCAGCUCUAUACAAGAUCACCCAAGUGUUUCCCCACGGCAACUGAUCUCUCCAGUUACCCAAGGUCACAAUGAACCUCACUUGUUCACGGCAACAACCUCAACAACACAAGAGUGCUCCCGGCAACACUUCCCAAACACCCAAUGAGGAACCUCACGUUCACAAGGUGUAAUGCCAACCUUAAACACAAGGCUCACGGCAAACCACUCAACACACCAAGAGAAACCUCACGGCAACAAGUUGCUCAAGUCACUCAAACUUCACGCAACAAGAAAGUGUCCCACACUCAAGAGUGUCCCACGGCAACAACCCAACAAUAAGGAUCCAAUGGCCGAAACUCAACAAGCAACAAGUAGAACUCAACAAGUCUCACGCAAGGCAAAGAACACAAGCAUCAAUGCGCAUUAUACAACCCAAGCAUCAACAAUCAAGCAACCAUCAAAUGCAUGCUUCAACACCAAUGUGCUUCAACCAACCAAGCGGCACCACAAGGCAAGCAAGAAUCCCACGCAAGCUCAAUAACAAAUAGCAAGCAUCCGAAGUAACAAGCAAGUAAUAAGUUACCUCAAGUCACGCAAGACAACUCUUCAACCAACAAUGCGCAUGAUCAAGCCACAACACCCAUCAACCCAAUACCAUGUGCAUUAACAACACAAUAACCACAAUGGGCAGCCGCAUCAACACAAGGCAAGCAACACCAAGCAAGUAAACUUACCUCACGGCAAUGACAAGUGACAAGCAAGAGUCCCACUGCAACCAACCCAGCUCAAGGAUCCAAUGGCCGCCUCCCACUCAAGCUCACGGCAAGAACAAGCUACAAGUGACCAUUCACGCACAAGAGUCCCACGCAAGGCAACAAGAACCACACGGCAACAUCAAUCCAUGCGCAAUAUACAAGCCACAAAGCCAACAACCAUGCAUAACAAACAACCAUACACAAUAACAAGCUCAAAGAAAGGUAGAAGAGAGGAUAUACGAAGUAGAGGGGGCUACUUCUUUUAUUGCUUUACACACCCAAGCUUUACAAUUGCCAUAAAGAGAAAAACACUCUCAAGUUCUUUCUCCCGCAACUCACUCUCUCAAGCUCACUCUCUAUAUAAGCUAGGGAAAUAGUGUGUCAAUCAUGGGUGGACAUGGGGAGCUUGGGGUACGGCCCCUGGCCCACUUGGCCACUUGCCGCUGCAUUUGGAGGGAAUUAUGGCGCCAUUUGUUUGGUCCCGGCAAAUGGCAAGUGGGCUGGCCACCUUC